rnacentral:tRNA from 1 species
GCCGUCGUGGCACAGCGGCACAAGUGUGUGACUGAAACGCAACGAUUAUGGGUUCGAUUCCCACUCGACGAAG